rnacentral:rRNA from 1 species
UACGAACUGUGCAAACGUUAUUCGGAUUCACUGGGCUUAAAGGGUGCGUAGGCGGCCAUGUAAGUAGGGUGUGAAAUCCCCCGGCUUAACCGGGGAACUGCGCCCUAAACUGUGUGGCUUGAGUGAGAUAGGGGUGUGUGGAACUUCCGGUGGAGCGGUGAAAUGUGUUGAUAUCGGAAGGAACGCCGGUGGCGAAGCGACACACUGGGUCUCAACUGACGCUGAGGCACGAAAGCCAGGGAGCGAACGGG